rnacentral:rRNA from 1 species
AGUGAACGCUGGCGGUAGGCCUAACACAUGCAAGUCGAACGGCAGCACAGUAAGAGCUUGCUCUUACGGGUGGCGAGUGGCGGACGAGUGAGGAAUACAUCGGAAUCUACUUUUUCGUGGGGGAUAACGUAGGGAAACUUACGCUAAUACCGCAUACGACCUACGGGUGAAAGCAGGGGAUCUUCGGACCUUGCGCGAUUGAAUGAGCCGAUGUCGGAUUAGCUAGUUGGCGGGGUAAAGGCCCACCAAGGCGACGAUCCGUAGCUGGUCUGAGAGGAUGAUCAGCCACACUGGAACUGAGACACGGUCCAGACUCCUACGGGAGGCAGCAGUGGGGAAUAUUGGACAAUGGGCGCAAGCCUGAUCCAGCCAUACCGCGUGGGUGAAGAAGGCCUUCGGGUUGUAAAGCCCUUUUAUUGGGAAAGAAAAGCAGCAGGUUAAUACCCCGCUGUUCUGACGGUACCCAAAGAAUAAGCACCGGCUAACUUCGUG